AGUGUGGUUUUGCCUUCGAGGAGGGGUGCCCAGCGGUGAUGCCCAGGAGAGGAAAUGGAAACCUGGAGCUGGGAGUGAGGGGAGGAGACAGAUUUCUGCAGACUCUACAUUUUGGAGAGAAACAGAAAAGAAUGUCCCCAAGUCUCCUUUGCCCUGCGAUGCUGGGGCGAUUGGCAAGGUCCCAAGAGAAGCACAACGGUAACCGACAACCGACGCUGCCCUCGGCUGAACUGUUAAAUCCUUCGGAUGGAUGCUGGAAUCGACCUUGGUCUCUAGUUCGACUCCCGUGCAACGUGUUGAGGAGGAGCCACCUCCUCCAAGCACCUAAAGCCGACCCAGAAACGCCUCCCAAUCCCUCCACGCCGCGGCUCCCGGGAUCCGAAGCUGGGUAGCUGCUUCUGUCCAAUCAGGGCUUCGCAUCCCGGGACGCUUCCGGUUAUGGCGUCAUUACGCAGCCAGGGAUGAGACAGGAGCCUAUCUGAUUGACAGGGACCCCACCUACUUUGGUCCUAUCCUAAACUACCU
rnacentral:sRNA from 1 species